rnacentral:rRNA from 1 species
GAAUAUUGGACAAUGGGGGCAACCCUGAUCCAGCCAUGCCGCGUGUGUGAAGAAGGCCUCUUGGUUGUAAAGCACUUUAAGCAGUGAAGAAGACUCCAUGGUUACUACCCAUGGACGAUGACACUAGCUGCAGACUAAGACCCGGCUAACUCUGCGCCCGCAACCGCGGUAAUACAGAGGGUGCAAGAUUUAAUCGGAAUUACUGGGCGUAAAUCGAGCGUAGGUGGCUUGAUAAGUCCGAUGUCAAAUCCCCGGGCUGAACCUGAGAACUGCAUCUGAUACUGUUAGGCUAGUAUAGGUGAGAGGAAGGUAGAAUUCCAGGUGUAGCGGUGAAAUGCGUAGAUAUCUGGAGGAAUACCGAUGGCGAAGGCAGCCUUCUGGCAUCAUAUUGACACUGAGGUUCGAAAGCGUGGGUAGCAAAC